AUUGAACGCUGGCGGCAUGCUUUACACAUGCAAGUCGAACGGUAACAGGUCUUCGGAUACUGACGAGUGGCGAACGGGUGAGUAAUGCAUCGGAACGUGCCCAGUCGUGGGGGAUAACGCAGCGAAAGCUGUGCUAAUACCGCAUACGAUCUAUGGAUGAAAGCGGGGGACCGUAAGGCCUCGCGCGAUUGGAGCGGCCGAUGUCAGAUUAGGUAGUUGGUGGGGUAAAGGCCCACCAAGCCAACGAUCUGUAGCUGGUCUGAGAGGACGACCAGCCACACUGGGACUGAGACACGGCCCAGACUCCUACGGGAGGCAGCAGUGGGGAAUUUGGGACAAUGGGCGCAAGCCUGAUCCAGCAAUGCCGCGUGCAGGAAGAAGGCCUUCGGGUUGUAAACUGCUUUUGUACGGAACGAAAAGGCUCUGGUUAAUACCUGGGGCCCAUGACGGUACCGUAAGAAUAAGCACCGGCUAACUACGUGCCAGCAGCCGCUGUAACAC
rnacentral:rRNA from 1 species